AAAUUGAAGAGUUUGAUCAUGGCUCAGAUUGAACGCUGGCGGCAGGCCUAACACAUGCAAGUCGAGCGGUAGCACAGAGAGCUUGCUCUCGGGUGACGAGCGGCGGACGGGUGAGUAAUGUCUGGGAAACUGCCUGAUGGAGGGGGAUAACUACUGGAAACGGUAGCUAAUACCGCAUAAUGUCGCAAGACCAAAGUGGGGGACCUUCGGGCCUCAUGCCAUCAGAUGUGCCCAGAUGGGAUUAGCUAGUAGGUGGGGUAACGGCUCACCUAGGCGACGAUCCCUAGCUGGUCUGAGAGGAUGACCAGCCACACUGGAACUGAGACACGGUCCAGACUCCUACGGGAGGCAGCAGUGGGGAAUAUUGCACAAUGGGCGCAAGCCUGAUGCAGCCAUGCCGCGUGUGUGAAGAAGGCCUUCGGGUUGUAAAGCACUUUCAGCGGGGAGGAAGGCGUUAAGGUUAAUAACCUUGGCGAUUGACGUUACCCGCAGAAGAAGCACCGGCUAACUCCGUGCCAGCAGCCGCGGUAAUACGGAGGGUGCAAGCGUUAAUCGGAAUUACUGGGCGUAAAGCGCACGCAGGCGGUCUGUCAAGUCGGAUGUGAAAUCCCCGGGCUCAACCUGGGAACUGCAUUCGAAACUGGCAGGCUAGAGUCUUGUAGAGGGGGGUAGAAUUCCAGGUGUAGCGGUGAAAUGCGUAGAGAUCUGGAGGAAUACCGGUGGCGAAGGCGGCCCCCUGGACAAAGACUGACGCUCAGGUGCGAAAGCGUGGGGAGCAAACAGGAUUAGAUACCCUGGUAGUCCACGCCGUAAACGAUGUCGAUUUGGAGGUUGUGCCCUUGAGGCGUGGCUUCCGGAGCUAACGCGUUAAAUCGACCGCCUGGGGAGUACGGCCGCAAGGUUAAAACUCAAAUGAAUUGACGGGGGCCCGCACAAGCGGUGGAGCAUGUGGUUUAAUUCGAUGCAACGCGAAGAACCUUACCUGGUCUUGACAUCCACAGAACUUUCCAGAGAUGGAUUGGUGCCUUCGGGAACUGUGAGACAGGUGCUGCAUGGCUGUCGUCAGCUCGUGUUGUGAAAUGUUGGGUUAAGUCCCGCAACGAGCGCAACCCUUAUCCUUUGUUGCCAGCGGUCCGGCCGGGAACUCAAAGGAGACUGCCAGUGAUAAACUGGAGGAAGGUGGGGAUGACGUCAAGUCAUCAUGGCCCUUACGACCAGGGCUA
rnacentral:rRNA from 1 species